rnacentral:rRNA from 1 species
GACGAACGCUGGCGGCGUGCUUAACACAUGCAAGUCGAACGGAAAGGCCCUUCGGGGUACUCGAGUGGCGAACGGGUGAGUAACACGUGGGUGAUCUGCCCUGCACUUUGGGAUAAGCCUGGGAAACUGGGUCUAAUACCGAAUAGGACCACGCGCUUCAUGGUGUGUGGUGGAAAGCUUUUGCGGUGUGGGAUGGGCCCGCGGCCUAUCAGCUUGUUGGUGGGGUAAUGGCCUACCAAGGCGACGACGGGUAGCCGGCCUGAGAGGGUGACCGGCCACACUGGGACUGAGAUACGGCCCAGACUCCUACGGGAGGCAGCAGUGGGGAAUAUUGCACAAUGGGCGCAAGCCUGAUGCAGCGACGCCGCGUGAGGGAUGACGGCCUUCGGGUUGUAAACCUCUUUCAAUAGGGACGAAGCGCAAGUGACGGUACCUAUAGAAGAAGCACCGGCCAACUACGUGCCAGCAGCCGCGGUAAUACGUAGGGUGCGAGCGUUGUCCGGAAUUACUGGGCGUAAAGAGCUCGUAGGUGGUUUGUCGCGUUGUUCGUGAAAACUCACAGCUUAACUGUGGGCGUGCGGGCGAUACGGGCAGACUAGAGUACUGCAGGGGAGACUGGAAUUCCUGGUGUAGCGGUGGAAUGCGCAGAUAUCAGGAGGAACACCGGUGGCGAAGGCGGGUCUCUGGGCAGUAACUGACGCUGAGGAGCGAAAGCGUGGGGAGCGAACAGGAUUAGAUACCCUGGUAGUCCACGCCGUAAACGGUGGGUACUAGGUGUGGGUUCCUUCCUUGGGAUCCGUGCCGUAGCUAACGCAUUAAGUACCCCGCCUGGGGAGUACGGCCGCAAGGCUAAAACUCAAAGGAAUUGACGGGGGCCCGCACAAGCGGCGGAGCAUGUGGAUUAAUUCGAUGCAACGCGAAGAACCUUACCUGGGUUUGACAUGCACAGGACGCCGGCAGAGAUGUCGGUUCCCUUGUGGCCUGUGUGCAGGUGGUGCAUGGCUGUCGUCAGCUCGUGUCGUGAGAUGUUGGGUUAAGUCUCGCAACGAGCGCAACCCUUGUCCUAUGUUGCCAGCGGGUUAUGCCGGGGACUCGUAGGAGACUGCCGGGGUCAACUCGGAGGAAGGUGGGGAUGACGUCAAGUCAUCAUGCCCCUUAUGUCCAGGGCUUCACACAUGCUACAAUGGCCGGUACAAAGGGCUGCGAUGCCGUGAGGUGGAGCGAAUCCUUUCAAAGCCGGUCUCAGUUCGGAUCGGGGUCUGCAACUCGACCCCGUGAAGUCGGAGUCGCUAGUAAUCGCAGAUCAGCAACGCUGCGGUGAAUACGUUCCCGGGCCU